GCUGGAAUUGCUAGUAAUGGCAGGUCAGCAUACUGCCGUGAAUACGUUCCCGGGCCUUGUACACACCGCCCGUCACACCAUGAGAGUUGGAAAUACCCGAAGCCUGUGAGCUAACUUAAAGAGGCAGCAGUCGAAGGUAGAGCCAAUGAUUGGGGUGAAGUCGUAACAAGGUAGC
rnacentral:rRNA from 1 species